GGGCUCAGGUCUUCUUGGCAAAGUGUGAAUGAGCAAGCAGAUUCUCCUCAGAAAGAGGGGCAGGCAUGGUAUAUGUCAGAAGCCGUGGCAGCCACUCCUUGUAAUGACUGCUCUCUUAGGUCUUCCAGCCUUUGCUACAUUGAGAGAAAGAGACAGUGAAAGUAGAUGUGAUCUGAGCAGCAGGCCUACUCAGCUGUGGCUCUUUCCCAAAUUCUUACGGUACUGUGGCAUCUUCUGGAGGGCGGAGCACAAGUGAGAAGAAUAAGAGGUGGCACCUUCUGACACAAGCAGCCAACUCUCCCUGCUUGGAUUCCUGCACUCCUCCCCUCUGUGUCCUGGGCAUACCCAAUCUGUUGCACCUCUGAGAGUCAGAGAUCAGGUGAGCGACCAGAAACAAUGGCAGCUGUUCCUUGUAACCAACCACUUUUGUGGACACCUGAGCACCAGCUAGCUUGCAACACUUUGCCAUCCGACUGAGAGAUGGAGGUGUGGUUAUUGCUGUGCAUGGCACAGAGGUGGGAACAAACAAACAAACAGAGAGCAGGCUUUCCCUACUCAAUGGUGCCUAGACUUCUCAGGUGCUGCUGCAUCUCCUGAGUGAUUGGUGCCUUCACAACUGCCUGAGGCUUCUAAGCUUUGAUGCAUCAGCUAAACUCCACUAGUUUCAGUGAUUCCUCUCAGUAUGUAGUUCUGCCUUUUUGUACCUGGUUCUUGUUGUUGAACUUCUGGGUUCUACUAAAAGAAAUAGACUAUAUCCUGCAACCCUAAAGUCCCCUCCUACUUGACAUAUAACUUAGGAAAGGAGGCCAGAUAACAUACAAUAUUUCUGGCUUAGCUUCACUUCUUUCAUGUUUUACAUUAUGGCAACUUCUACAUGGCAAUACUGGGAUUUAGUUGACUCUUUCCUGUUCUUUGCUUGCUGUUAUUAGCGAACAACUAAAAUAAAAUAAAAUAAAAUAAAGUCUUUGUUCAAGCUGUCUUGUUGAUCAAGUGGAGCAUGACAAAACAUGCAGGUACAUUUUGUCUUAUCAUUUUUAUCAAUUUAAGCAAAUAACUUAAGUUCCACAAUUGUCUUAUAGGGAACAGGAUCACCACAUAUGUAGAAGUGUUCCAGUCUUGGGGCUUGGAUGCUAAUGAGCAUGAUGUGGAAAGAUGCAGACACGGAAGUCAAGGGUUUCUUUUCUGAUUCUACCACUAGGAGGAACAAAUGCAUUUGAAGGCAGAGAGACCCAGAACCUCUCCGAUGAUUGGCAGGAGGUUGAGACUGUCAAGCAAGAAAGACUAUUGCAGUCAAGGUCAACUGGGUUUUUUUGAGUGUUCUAUAAUUCUUAAUUUGGCUGCUCACCAGUUCUUAGUCAUUGUUCCUUCUUUAUUCACAAGUACAUACGACUGUGAUCAACUAAUGAUACAACACUGAAAGGGAUACUGCACACUUUCAUAAUUUUUGUACACUAAAUAAGGGGACAUAAAAAUGCACCUGAAAAGUAGGCAACAGCCUUCAUGUUCUCCUGACCACGUAUAUAAGAAGAGCUCUUCUGUAUCAGGCCAAAGGACCAUCUAAUCCCUCAUCCUGUUCUCAUAGUGGUCAACCAGAUACCUAUGAGAAACGUGAAAGGAGGAGCUGAGCAUAACAACACUCUCCUUACUUGUGAUUCCAAUAUAACCCUAUUUGUCUAAUCCUCCUUUAAAGCUAUCCAACUUGGGAGCUAUCAUUACACCCUGUAGAAGCAAAAUAAGCCCCCCACUUUUAAAAAAUAUAUUAAAAAACCUUUUACAGGGUCCCUUAAGGGAAGAAAGAAAUGGCCAUAACAUGUAGACACUGGUAGAAGGUAAGUUUUAUCUCCCAGGAGAUCAAUGUUCAGUUAUUAUUUCUACUACAUCACAUGGAGGAAGCAAGAAAUACUGCAGUGAUUAGGACAAAUUGGGAUUGAUGUGAGUUGAAGUUAACAGUCAUGAACUUGGCCUUGGGCUUGAUUUUGCCUACUGCCAAAUGUACUCUCCCAAUCCAGUGAAGUAUGUAAGCAAGAAUUUCACUUUAGGAAUCAGAGGAGCUGUUGUCCGAUAGAGGCUCAGGAUGCCAAAGUUCUGUUUUGCUAUUGGCACACAGGCAAAAGCAUCAGGGUUAAGUGAGCAUUCAUUUCUGCAGCCAAAGAUUGCUGUAUCUUUUGCCACAAAUGCUCCUAAACUGCAAAGAAUGUUAAUUGCGACAGGCAUUCCAAUACAAAGGAAUUCACUUCUAUUCCUGCACAGAGAAGGACAGUCACUAUGAGAAUUAUUAAGCUGAGCCACCUCACUGUAAAUAAAAUGGUUAUGGACUGUGCCCUUUCAUGCUCACAGAUUAUAUCACUACCCACCCACCCUCCUCCUGAGCUGUGUCUUCUGGUUUCUGAGCAGCAUUUAUUGUGACUCACUAGCAGGGACUAAGGGAAUGAGCAGCCGUAGAGUUUGAAAGAACUCUGCAUAGGCUACAUAAAGGAGGAGACACUUGCAAUGGUUCUCAUAAGUCAAAACUUCUCUGUGUGGAACAAAUGUUCAAUCCAAUACUCUUACUGCAUGUGGUAGUCAAUCAGGAACAGUUCCAGAUCUUCCAGAUUAUUUUUUGUUGUCAGUCUCCUAAAUACAAGGGACUUGCUUCAGGGCAGGAGGAGCAGACAACAGGGGUGCUGGUACUCCAGGCCAAAUUAAGGUUGGCGAUUAUAUACUUUAGAACAAGGGUAGCCUUCCAAAUAUUCCUGGACUGUAGGUCCCAUCUAUCCUGACCAUUGGUCCUGCUGGCUGGGGCAGAUGGGAGCUGGAGUCUAGCAACAUCUGGGGAAUACCUCUGGGAUUUGGGUGGAAUUGAUUUUAUUGAAGACUUAGGUUGUGUUGUGGAGGAAAUUGCUAAAAAAUAAUAAUAGCAGGACAUGAAUUU